GAUGAACGCUGGCGGCGUGCUUAACACAUGCAAGUCGAACGGAAAGGCUCCUGCCUGCAGGGGUACUCGAGUGGCGAACGGGUGAGUAACACGUGGGUGAUCUGCCCUGCACUUCGGGAUAAGCCUGGGAAACUGGGUCUAAUACCGGAUAGGACGAUGGUUUGGAUGCCAUUGUGGAAAGUUUUUUCGGUGUGGGAUGAGCUCGCGGCCUAUCAGCUUGUUGGUGGGGUAAUGGCCUACCAAGGCGUCGACGGGUAGCCGGCCUGAGAGGGUGUACGGCCACAUUGGGACUGAGAUACGGCCCAGACUCCUACGGGAGGCAGCAGUGGGGAAUAUUGCACAAUGGGCGCAAGCCUGAUGCAGCGACGCCGCGUGGGGGAUGACGGCCUUCGGGUUGUAAACUCCUUUCGCUAGGGACGAAGCGCAAGUGACGGUACCUGGAGAAGAAGCACCGGCUAACUACGUG
rnacentral:rRNA from 1 species